UGCAUUGCCCACAGCGGGGAGGGGGGCGGGGAGGAAACUUAAGCAAUGUUCUCGGAUUGCUUUUGACUUCAAGCCCUUGCUCUCCAGUUUUUGUGUGUGUGUGUUUUUUUAUGUUUUGUUUUGUUUUGAAAUGUUCAGAAAAAGUAUCUCUUGGCGGGUUUUCCAUGUAUGAUUCAGUCUCUUCUUCUCUGGGACCCGACGUUGUUUGUUUAUGAGUUUUGUAAGCAUCUCUUUAAAUUUAGUUUUUGCAGGAAAUACUCCCCUUUGCCACAGGGUGUAGUUUACGGACUAGAAAAUACUGCUGGAGAAAGCUGCUAGUGGUGCUAGUGGCUUCAUUUUCCAAGAAUAGCAGUGCCUAAAUUUAGGCUCAGCGAUGACCAAGGAUAAGAAGUUUUUCAGGAUCAACAGCAUUUUGAGACCACUGUAGAGAGUAAUUUUAACAACCACGGAAACCUACAAACAGCCUGCAGGAUGGAGAGUGGGGGAGGGGAGUCGAGAAGUGAGAGGCAGGGAAACAGAUGCGUUUGCUAUUCUUCCUUGUACUGUCGUAUAAAACUUCUAGAACUGAAUCGUUUUCCUUGGAUGUGGUUUUGAGAAACAAAAGUACUCUGUUAUGUUAAAAAUGGAAAUACUCCACGGUAUGAGACAACUGACAUUUUAGUGUACUUGUAAACAUACUGGACUUAUAUUUCAUAUUAAAAUGGGCCUUUGGGGUUAUUGGAUGAGGAGGGUCCUCCAGGGGAUAUCUACUAUCAAGUUAUCUGCAGGGUAUCUUCUCCAGAAAGCAGACUGACUGUAAUAUGAACUAAUUUCCCCCUCUGCCCCCCCCCCUUUGAAUUAGCUUGUAAGAAUGCCUGAGAUCUGACACUUAUGGACCACAGUUAGCCAGUUAGCCAAAGCUCUUGCAGUGCUCAAAACAUUUUAAGGAACAGGGAAAUCUUUCUCUAUUUGCACCCCCUCCUUUUAGGAGGUCAACAGGGGUAACCUACCAGCUUCAAAUACAUAAUUUCAACUGGAAGGUUUAAGAUGCUCCUAGCUCCAUAGGAAAACAAUACAGGCCAGGAUAAGACUGCUUUUGAAGGCAAAAUGUCUUUUAGGUAAUAAUUUUUAGCUACAAGUUCUUUAAAAACUCAUUCAACGAGGCUAGCUGAAUCUGGGGGGAAGGGGAGGUGGAAGAGCUUUGCUAGUUUCUGUACUUUGCUUCCACUUUUAACUUCACUUAUAAAGGUUUUGGCUUUCAGAAUCAAUGACAUAAUAGGCUGUGUAGCCUUCUUUUGUGGCAGAUGCUUGAAAUGAAAGUUUCAAACGGAAUUGUUUUUGACUGAGCUGUCAAGUUCAGAGUUUAGUGUAAAUGAGUCCUGUCGCACAACUAACUUUUUUGAUAAAGGAAUUCUUUGUAGUUUUCAACUUGGAUGUUGCACAUUUUGAUGUCUAAGGCUACGGGGUUA